CGAUGGCUGUCGUCAGGCUCGUGCCGUGAGGUGUUCGGUUAAGUCCGCGAACGAGCGCAACCCCUGUUGCCAGUUACAAGUGGUCUGGCGAGACUGCCGGUGACAAGCCGGAGGAAGGUGGGGAUGACGUCAAGUCAGCAUGGCCUUUAUAUCCAGGGCGACACACACGCUACAAUGGACGGUACAGAGGGCAGCGAGACCGCGAGGUGGAGCGAAUCCCAGAAAGCCGUUCUCAGUUCGGAUUGCAGGCUGCAACUCGCCUGCAUGAAGUCGGAGUUGCUAGUAAUCGCGCGUCAGCCACAGUGCGGUGAAUACGUUCCCGGGCUUU
rnacentral:rRNA from 1 species